GUCCAACCGCUCAACCAUCUCUAUCUUAUUUUCUACACGCGUGCUCAGCUCUUAGCAAAUUCUGGGCGUUCUUCUCUCUGUACGCGGCUGCCAGCACACACCGCCGAGUCCGCGUGGCUGCUCAGCCAGUACUGCUCACGCCAGCACAACAGUGAUCAGCCAACACUUAUCCUCAACUCCAACUCGUUCAGCCGGUUCUUCAUCCGUCGUCCACAGGCUUCAGACGUAGCUCGCCAGCUUCGACCUCCGCCCUGCCCUUGACCCCACUCGCCCGUUCUUGUUCCCGACGCUCGAGCUCACCUCAGCUUCGCUGUGCCCCUGCGUUCGGCCUCUUCCCUCCACCAGCGGACGUCCUCGGUCUCGCUUUCCUCGCCGUGGCAAGGCCCCGGCCACGACGUCAUCCCCCUCUAAGCUAGCUGUUGAAGUCGUGCCUCGCAUACGCCUAUUCGAUGAAAUGCCCAAACGUCACGUCCGCUCCUUGUCCCAACACCCUGUCACAAUUCCGUGCGUUGCCGUGUGUGUUUCGGAAGAGAGGAAUCCCAUAUAUGUGAGGACAGGCAAUCCGUGCAAUAGUUGUUUGAUGUUUGGUGUUAUGCGCAAAUCAGAAAUCGUCAUCAUUAUCCCAAAUAUCGAUUUGGUUUGUGAUAUGGUACACUAGCUGAAAAAUCGUGCGAAGCGAAGGGUGUGGAUCAAAACAACCCACAAGACGAUGUCGGCCGAUGAGCCCGAAGAUGGAUGGACUAAGCAGAUGUCAGAACAAAAGUUGAUCGUCAACUGGCCUUCAUUUAACAACACUAACGUAGUGUUAUCCCAGCCCUGCAUCAUCUAGAAGCGUCUUGCGUGGCCUGCCGACCUCGAGACAACCCCUAGAUCUCUCCUCCCCGACGGGGUGGCUCCCGGGAGGUGAGAUUCAGGUUCUUCGUGGAGAAGAAGACCCUCUGCGCCAUCGCGGACCGUUCGAAAGCGAGUAGGAAGGAGCCGCUCCUGCGUUGAGGUCGUGGACCAUCUGGCCUAGGGUCGCGGACCAUCCACACUCCCGCAGACAGCACCGCCAGGCGGUUCACUCUCCGCCAUGUGACUUUGCAAGCAACGAGGCAUGAACCGCCAAUGAAGAGAAGGUGGAGGCGUUGUCAACUGCGAUGCUUGGCUGAACACUCGAGGGCGAGGAGGAGACGCUCUAGAUCCUGAGUUUAGUUUUGUAUUGUUUGUUGCCAAAUAUUUUGUGAGAUAUUAAGUUCAACAAUAAUGUAUGUAUUGAACGUUUUCAUGUAAUCAUUGUACGCUAAUAUUUUAUAGAAAUAUGUAUAUGUCGUCACAUGUAUAUAUUAUACUUUCUCCGAUUCUUUUAUUUGAUGUUUGUUAGUGUAAAUUUGAACUCUCCAACGUCAAAUAAAAAAUCGAGGUGGUUACCUAGAAAACAAUCACAUGACAUAGCAGGCGUGUGAGUUUGAUUGGCUCCAGUACCCUCAGUGUCAAUCGACGUCCGCUGUCCGCAUAGGCCGGCGACCACCGCCUCUUCUCCCGGCGACAAACCUGAAACUACCUAGGGGUGAAAACGGGUCGGGUACCCGAACCGGGUACCGGAUACGGAUACUAAUUCGGGACGUUUUUUCGGAUACGGAUACGGGUACUUUUAUUUCCGGGACGGAUACGGGUAUUACCCGGAUAGAAUCUUAUCGGAUACGGGACGGAUACGGGACGUGCAAUACCCGGUAAAUACCCGACAUCCUCGGGCGGAUACGGGUACCCGGCUCCCGGGUACCCGGUAAUCUUUCUGGCCCAAUAGCUAGCCGGCCCAAUCCACCUAAAAGCUGAAGGCUCCAGGAACCGACGCUGGGUCGCUGGUCUACGGCCUAACCUUGGGUCCCUGGCGGCCUGGCCCUUGCCGCUUGCCUCCAGUCACCAGCACAGCACAGCACGCCGCGCCGCCAGGUCGCCAGUACCAGGCCCCAGCCCCCAGCCGCGUGAGGCGCCGCGCCGCCGCCAGAGGCCAGACCGAGCGGCGAGCCGGUGAGCGCCCGUCCGUCCGCGACCGCGUCCGCCCGAGCGGACCUGUACAAGCAGCCAAGCAGUAAGCACCUCACCGAGCACUCGAGCAGCGUCCAUCGGCCUCACCGAGCGCAGAUCUCCCUCACCGAGCGCUCCAUCGCCCAUCGGCCUCAUCACCUCUUCUCCAGCGACCAGCGGCCUCGAGCAGCGUCCGGCGCGUCCGCCCGUGCAGCGUCCACCGUCUAGGCCGGUGUCCACCGUUCAGGCCGUCCGUCCGAGCAGCGUCCUCCCUCGCCCGAGCAGCUAAUUCACCGAGCAGCGUCCUCCCUCGCCCGAGCAGCGUCCACCGUCCAGGCCGUCCGUCCGAGGCUCCCAGCGACCAAGAUUCAGUCUACUGCUCCAGGCGCCGCCAUCGUCGCACCGACCCCUGCCUCCAGCUCUAGGCGCCGUCGACCCCUGCAUCCAAGAAUGCAGCAGCCCCACACCGGCGUAUCAGGCCCCAACAGCGGGCACUCCUCGGCGGCCACCAUCGUUGGCUCGUCGUCGGCGGCUCGUCAGCAGCAGCAAGACGCACCUGACGGCCGAACCCUCGAUCCGUGGCCCCGUCGUGCAGCCCCUCACCCUUGGUAAUGUUGUUGACGAUGACAUACCACUUAGUAUGAUUUACCAACUAUUAGUAACUUUGCUCAUAUAAUGACAGCGCCAUGGAUGUCGAUGAUAUUUGUGGCAUUGACAACAAUGUGUCCCAUGAAGAUGAAAUACAUGAUACCGGGGAGGAUGUUAAUGCUAACAACAGUGAACGUCCUGAGCCUAUUGGUAGUAAGGUGAAUGUCCUGAGCCAACAAGUUAGUCGUGGAAAAAACAAGUCUGUCGAUGAAGACCAUCGUGCAGUGAGGGCCAGAAUUGGAAAAAACAAGUGUCAGAAUUGGAUCUAUACAUGAGUGAGGGCCUAGUGAAGGCUAAUGAAAGUGAUGCACCAUUUAAUGCCUUAUCAUGGUGGAAGGGUCAAGUGACAAAUUUCCCUAUUCUUUCUACCCUUGCUCGUGAUGUACUAUCAAUGCAGGUGUCAACUGUUGCUUCAGAGUCGGCAUUUAGCUCUGGUGGACGCGUGGUUGAUGCCUUUCGUUCGAAGCUUAAACCUGAAAUUAUUGAAGCCUUGGUUUGUACUAAGGAUUGGAAGAUUGCUUCAGAGAAAGAUUUGGAGUGUGAAAUAAAAACUAUAGCUGAAGCUAUGAAUGCUAUGGAGGUGGACGAUGAUGUUGCGACUUGAGAUCUUCAAACAAGCAUGGAUUGCUUGCACUAUUUUAUGCCAUUUGAAAACUACCUUUUAUUGUAAUAGUCUAUUGUGUUGAACUAUCUUGUGCUAUGUUAGACUCUUGUGUGAUGUGAACUUAUCGCUAUUAUAUUUGAACUAUUGUGUUAGACUAUUGUAUGCUAUGAACUUAUUGUUAUAUUGUCUUGUUGAUCUAUGGUCUAUGUAA